UUCUCCCAGUGCCCUCCCCCCACCUCCCACCCACCGCCCUCCCAGUUCCUUCCAUUUCCUCCCAGUUCCUCCCAGUUCUUUCCCAACGCGGCCUCCCAGUCCCUCCCAGUUGCCCCCAGUGACUCCCAGUUCCUUCUUGCGCCACACCAGCGCCUCCCACUGCCUUCCCAGUUCCGCCCAGUACCUUCCAGUGACCCCAGUCCCCUCCGGCUCCCUCCCAGUAAACCCAUUGUGUCCCUCCCAGUUGCCUCCCAGUUGCUUCCUCCUUCCUCCCCGCGCCCCACCGCUGCGCUCCCAGUGCUCCCAGUUCCUUCCCAGUCCCUUCCCAGCGCCCUCCCAGUGCCUCCCAGUGUCCCCAGUUCACCUGUGGCUCCCUCCCAGUGCCCUCCAGCGCCUCCCAGUGCCUCCUCUUUGGGGGCCCAGGAGGACCACCUGGUGGGGGUGGCGUUUCUUCUGGCAGCUGUGCCCCCCCACGAUCCGGUUCUCGUCCCCCGUGGCCGCUGGGGGGGCAGAGGAACAGCUCAGCCCUCCCACUUCCUCCCACUUCCUCCCUCUUCCUCCUGGAUCCUCCCAUUUACUCCCAAUUCCUCCUGCAUCCUCCAAUUUUCUCCCAGUUCCUCCCAGUUCCUCCUGCAUCCUCCAAUUUACUCCCAGUUCCUCCAAUUUCCUCCCAGUUCCUCCCAGUUCCUCCUGGAUCCUCCAGUUUCCUCCCAGUUCCUCCUGGAUGCUCCAAUUUCCUCCAAUUUCCUCCCAAUUCCUCCUGGAUCCUCCACUUUCCUCCCAGUUCCUCCCAGUUCCUCCUGGAUCCUCCAGUUUCCUCCCAGUUCCUCCAGUUUCCUCCCAGUUCCUCCCAGUUCCUCCUGGAUCCUCCAGUUUCCUCCCAGUUCCUCCAGUUUCCUCCCAGUUCCUCCCAGUUCCUCCUGGAUCCUCCACUUUCCUCCCAGUUCCUCCAGUUUCCUCCCAGUUCCUCCCAGUUCCUCCUGCAUCCUCCAAUUUCCUCCAAUUUCCUCCCAGUUCCUCCUGCAUCCUCCAAUUUCCUCCCAGUUCCUCCCAGAUCCUCCCAUUUCCUCCCAGUUCCUUUCAGAUCCUCCCAGUUCAUCCCAGUUCUUCCUGGAUCUUUCCAGUUCCUCCCAGUUCAUCCCAGAUCCUCCUGGAUUCUCCCAGUUCAUUCCAGUUCCUUCCAGAUCACUCCAGUUCCUCCCAGUUCCUCCCAGUUCCUCCUGGAUCUUUCCAGUUCCUUCCAGUUCUUCCCAGUUCCUUCCCAGUUCCUCCCCAGUUCCUCCUGGCUCUUCCCAAUUCCUCCUGGCUCCGACCAGUUCCUUCCAGUUCAUCCCAGUAUACCCAGUUUCUUCCCUUUCCUCCCAGUUCCUCCCAGUUCCUUCCCAGUUCCUCCUGGCUUAUCCCAAUUCCUCCUGGUUCCGACCAGUUCCUUCCAGUUCCUCCCAGUUUGUUCCAGUUCCUCCCAGUUCCUCCCCAGUUUCCCCCAUCUCCCCCCCCAGUUCCUCCCGGUUCCUCCCAGUUCCUCCCAGUUCCCUCCAUUUCCUCCCAGUGCCUCCCAGUUCUUCCCAGUUCCCCGCAGUCCCUUCCAUUCUCUCCCAGUUCCUUCCAGUUCAUCCCAAUACUUCCCAGUUCCUCCCAGUUCCUCCCAAUCCCUCCCAGUUCAUCCCAGUUCAUCCCAAUCCUCCCCAGUCCCUACCAGUUCCUCCCAGUUCCCCCAGUUCCCCCCUUCCUCCGUAUCCCAGUACAUCAGUGCUCCCAGUAUAUCCCAGUGCUCCCAGUGCUCCCAGUGCUCCCAGUACUGCUGUGCUCUCAGUGCUCCCAGUGCUGCUAUGAUCCCAGUGCUCCCAGUGCCCCCAGUUCCUUCCCAGUGCCUCCCAGUGCCCCCCAGUAUCAUCCUCAGUCUACCAGUAAAUCCCUCAGUUUCCUCCCAGUGCCCACCAGUGCCUCCCAGUCACUUCCCAAUUCCCUCCCAGUCUCUUCCCAGUUCCAUCCCAGUGCCCACCAGUUACUGCCAGCCCCCUCCCAGUCCCCACCAGUCCCUUCCCAGUGCAAAACCAGUCACUCCCAGCC
ensembl:lncRNA